GCUGCUGGGGCUGGUUCCAGUUGGGAAGUGAACUGGAUGAUGGACCCAGCCGGAUGGGAUGCAGAGCUCCGUGAGUGCCUUUUCCUGCCCCUUUAUCCCUAUGGAUGCGCUCCGGGGUCGGAUCCUUGCCCUCACAUCCCCUUUGCUGAAGGAGGACCCCGGUGAGUGCCCAGCCCCAUUGCCCAUUCCCAACCAGUUCUGUUCCCCUUUGUCCCAUGCAGAGAGCGACGUGGAACUGGGAAUGCUCCCGGAGCAGGGAACGGGCUCCCUGCCAUCCUGCAGCAUUCCCAAGCUUUGUGGCUCUCUCCUAGAGGGAUGUGACAUGGAGAACGGUGAACUCACAGCAGAGAUAGAGAGCCUGAGCUCCCAGCUGGAGGAACGGGACAGGAGGAUCAGCAAACUCACAGCGGAGCUGGGUGAACGGGAUGCCAGGAUCAGUAAGUGGAAUUCCCCCUUGGAUGGGGGGAAACAGAGGGGCAAAUCCUAUUGGGAAUAUGGGAAUAGCAUCCACAGCCUGGAAUUCCAGGGUCCAAGCUCCAGGUGA
rnacentral:lncRNA from 1 species